CCAUGCAUGUCUAAGUAUAAACGCUUCUAUACUGUGAAACUGCGAAUGGCUCAUUAAAUCAGUUAUAGUUUAUUUGAUGGUUCCUACUACAUGGAUAACCGUGGUAAUUCUAGAGCUAAUACAUGCAGAAAGUCCCGACUUCUGGAAGGGAUGUAUUUAUUAGAUCCAAAACCGGCGCGGGUCCUUCUGGGCCCGGUUGCUUGGUGAUUCAUGAUAACUGCUCGAACCGUAUGGCCUUAGCGCCGACGGUGCUUCAUUCAAAUUUCUGCCCUAUCAACUUUCGAUGGUACGGUAGUGGCCUACCAUGGUUGCAACGGGUGACGGAGAAUUAGGGUUCGAUUCCGGAGAGGGAGCCUGAGAAACGGCUACCACAUCCAAGGAAGGCAGCAGGCGCGCAAAUUACCCAAUCCCGACUCGGGGAGGUAGUGACAAUAAAUAACAAUGCCGGGCUUUCUUAGUCUGGCAAUUGGAAUGAGUACAAUCUAAACCCCUUAACGAGGAACAAUUGGAGGGCAAGUCUGGUGCCAGCAGCCGCGGUAAUUCCAGCUCCAAUAGCGUAUAUUAAAGUUGUUGCAGUUAAAAAGCUCGUANUUGGAUUUCGGGGCAGCCUGGCUGGUCCGCCGCAAGGCGAGUACUGGUCAGCCGCCCUUCCUCUCNAAAGCCCCGACUGCUCUUUAUUGUAGUGGUCGGGUAGUUCGGGACGUUUACUUUGAAAAAAUUANAGUGUUCAAGGCAGGCCUACNCCUGAAUACAUUANCAUGGAAUAAUGGAAGAGGACCUCGNUCCUAUUUUGUUGGUUUCUAGGGCCNAANUAAUGAUUAAGAGGGACAGUUGGGGG
rnacentral:rRNA from 1 species